CACACUUCCAGCUCCCGGCAGAAUGCUUGACACCAUCGUCAGCAACCCCCGCUCUCCCCACACACACAGACUCUAGUCACGCAAUGCCGUGGGCGCAAACCUCAGCAACUUUUCAACCCUGCACACAAGAAAGCCAUCAAGUACCUGCAAUUGACAGAAUCGCGUGCAAUUCAGGGUACUCCUGGACUCUGCUGGAGCAAAGCCAAAGGAGCUUAGGAAAAGCUGGAGUGGAGCUUCACCUGCUGAUGCACAGAUAGAAAGAAGCUAUGAUCCCAGAUAUACAAGCAAGCCUGGAGGUGGUUAAGACAUGAAAGUGAGAUCGCUUACUCAACUUCAUUUACCAUAAUGCCUUUCGCGCGUACGUCACCUGUCAGAAGCAUGUGUCGCGCUGCUCUGUUCAAACUAUGGCUCAUUGAGGCUGCGGCGCUUCACGGGGGAGCAUCAUAACAGCGGAGCAGCAGUGGAGAACAUCACUGUCCUGAACAAUAAGGAGGAUCCAACAUCUUUAAAUCUUGAACGGAAGUAAUCUGGAUCCAUUUGAUCCAAUUUGGAUGAGGAUUUAUAUGCCGGAUUUGACGGUUUACAACCAAGUUAUGUUUCAGCGCUGACACGUGUGGGAAAGUUACAAUUUCUGUCUUCAUCUGUUUGCAUCAGCUGAUGGAUUAAAAUAAAGUACAACUACGGAUCGUUUUGAAUGGAAUAGAGUUUUUAUUCUUCCCGGGAUGAGUUGGAUCUAUUCCUGUCUUACCCCUGGUGUUGUACAAGUCGGCUCACGGACACUCUUUUCUCUUGGGAGACACGCAUGGUUCAGAGUGGUCAAUGAGAAGAUAUUUAUGGCCACCUUACUGUUUUGGAUAUCUGUAACUUAUGCAGACUUGUGGAUUUGGACGUAUAAAAAGGAAACGUAUAUGGAGAAAUAUCCUGGAAUAUGAAUGCUGUGCUUAGGGGAUGUCCAGCGACUAAUAUGACCAAUAUGAUUCUCCUGAACAAGGAGGUCCUCUGCCUCUCUCUGAGCUUGAAGAGCAAGGAUGAAGGCCUGUCGGAGCUGUCUGGCUUGCAUACAUCACUCUUCGCUGAGCUUUUAUCUAGCCAGACUGGUCUGUGCUCCAUCUAGACCCAGCUCCCGGCAAGUGCACAGUCCUGAGACCUGUGGCAUUAAUAAAGAUAAUGCUGUUUGGAAUAAUAACAGUCAAUUCUUCUCAAUAGUGGAAAGAGACAGCAUGUACAAGUGUCAUGGAAUACAAAAGAAACCAAGAUGAAAGGCUGAAAGGUCAUCCCAGGUGAGCUGCGAAAAGAGGCUGAGUAAUGGAAACUCUAUCUCAACAGUUUUAAAAGGAUCACACCUAAUCGUGAGCUGGUCGGUCGACCUGCAUCCUCCUGCAGCAGCUGUGCGCUCCUGGCCUGGCAAAUGACUGAGUGAGCCACUUCCCUGACGAUCUAGCUGUCAGGUUCGAGCCAGGACUGGAACUCGGAAAAAAGCUGUGACAAAAACUCUGAGGCAAAGUGGAGAGGAUUCAGCAGCUCAGACAUUGUGGAACACAUCUGUCAACAUCUGGAUACAUGCUCAGUAGAAAAAUCGAUGUAAUAAAUGUGCUAAUGCCACAGUUACAUCAACCAUUUACACAUUGUUUGACUUUCUCAUUUUUUCCUGAAUUGAACUUGGAUAAAUAUUGUUUCUCCAUGUGCAUCUGCUCUUGAUUUUCAGUGCUUCUUCAUGCUGUGACAUUUAUUCAUGAAAAGGGAUCACCAACCGCUGGAAAAUUUAAAGGAUAGUAAUUCGAUGGACUUUUCAUUUUGUGUAUCUUUUGCACAUGUACAGUAAAGAACAUAAAAUCAGUUUUGUACAGUGCCAUGCAAAAGUAUUUAUACCCAUUGAACUUUUACAACCCCAAACCUCAAUACAUUGUAAUAGGAUUUUAGAUUCGAUAAAAACAAUAGUUUAUAAUUGAAAUGUGAAAGAGCAGGAUGGCAUGGUUUUUAAGUAUUACUGAGAAUAUUCUGAGACCUCUGUCCUGCACAUGUACUUACAGUUUGCUGCAAUUACAUAUUUUUGGGAAUGUCUCUACCUAUUUUGCUAUUAUACAGACUGACAAUUAAAAUAAAUAAAUUACCUACCUGCCACCACUGCCAUAUUUUACCAUGGAAAUGAUUUAGUGUUACUUUCUUACCUUCUGGAGGGAAUUUGUCUUAGUUAGUAUAAGGGAGCCUAAAGACAAGCCACUAAUGCAUGCCCAUUAUUCUAAAUUUCACAAUUAUGCACUACUUUGCGCUCACAAAAAAUGCAUUGAAGUUUGCGGUUGUAAUGUGAAAAUUUUAAGUGCUGUCAAUGCGUUUUGUGAUGAACAAAAUCAAGCUAUGUGAGAUCAAGGUGCUGUGCUGAGCUUGUUUAUUCAGUGGAACUGUAGCUUCUGUCUUCCAGUUUCCUUCACAAAGACACCAUUGUUGCAGGUUUUUGAUGAAUGCCAACCGAAAACACUCCCAAACUGCAUUUCUUUGUGACACAUUGGCAGUCUUUUAAUGUAGGCCGAUCAUCCUGGCGCACUGUUCGUUAUGAUGAUGAUUUAUAUCUCCAUCCCUUUUGUUGUGUCUGCAAAAACUUGUUAGCAGAAAUAAAAAAGUGUAUUUAA